AGUUUGAUCAUGGCUCAGAUUGAACGCUGGCGGCAUGCGUAACACAUGCAAGUCGAACGGUGUUUGGUGCUUGCACCAGACAUAGUGGCGGACGGGUGAGUAAUGCGUAGGAAUCUGUCUUAGAGAGGGGGACAACCCGAGGAAACUUGGGCUAAGACCGCAUAUUCUCGAGAGAGGAAAGCAGGGGACCGGAAACGGCCUUGUGCUCUAAGGUGAGCCUACGUCGGAUUAGCUAGUUGGUAGGGUAAAAGCCUACCAAGGCGAUGAUCUGUAGCUGGUCUGAGAGGACGGACAGCCACACUGGGACUGAGACACGGCCCAGACUCCUACGGGAGGCAGCAGUGGGGAAUAUUGGACAAUGGGGGGAACCCUGAUCCAGCGAUGCCGCGUGUGUGAAGAAGGCCUGCGGGUUGUAAAGCACUUUCAGUGGGAAAGAGAAGCGUCUUGUGAGUAAUGGGACGUGGAGACGUUACUCACAGAAGAAGCACCGGCUAACUCUGUG
rnacentral:rRNA from 1 species